UGUGCGGGGAACACGUUCCCCGGGGAGCGGUGCGGGAAGCUGGGAGGAAGGGGAGCGCUUGGCGGCCUCGGCGCAGUUUUGGCAAAGCCGCGCCUGGAGCUCAGGUGAGGCCCGUGAACGCCUGCGCCUUUCCUGGUACGGGCUGAAAUGGAGAGGCCGCUUCCUGCUACAGGGCGGGUGCUUUGCUGAGGAAUUUCCAGCAAUGUUGAGAAGUGCUGACUCACAGUAUGCAGGCAAGGGCUCCAGCUGAGCCUGGGCUGAGGGGAGGGCUGCGAAGCGAGCUCUUGGCUGAAGGCAGCGAAAAAUGUUGCUAAUUUGGAAAACAGGUUGUUUUGCUAAAAUACAGACGCUUCUCUGUUUCCCCAGUAAACGGGUUGUUGUAAAGGAGCCUUACGGAGCUCAUGCAAGAAGCCUUUUACCACCACCGUGGUUCCAAAUAUCCUUCAGAGCAGGAGAUACCAAAGUAUUUGGGACUGAAACUAAUUGGCACCUACUUGCAUGUAUUUCUCACUUGCUGAGGUGGGACUGCGGCUCCAAUUGUUGAAAUUGAAACCUAGCAGGUAUUUGAUUGCCUCUAUUACUGAUCACCAUGAAAGCUUGGUGCUUUGGUUCUGUCCUUGUGCUUUUAGCAGUCACUUCGCAAGUAUUUUCCCUUCUUUCUGAACAGAAAACAACGUGGUAUACUGUUUUCUGCUGGUGUUGGCCAGAAGCUAGAGAGAAGGAGGAGUCACUUCAAGUUCUACCACUUCUCAAAAUUUAAUUUGUCAUUAAAUUGUAGGGACAAAGCUCUGUCUCUAUUUACAUCCAGUACUUUUUUUUUUUCUCUAAUGUGUUCUUGUGUGCGUGUAUUGUUUGAACGCUGAACAAGCACUGAGUAUUUUGGACUGAUCUCUGUAGGCGCUGUCCCACAGUGUGUCAUAAAUGGGAUACAAGUCUGUAAAAGAACUUUGACACCCGCUUCUAAUGUCUAAAAUUUGAUGUCAGCUAGUCGUCAUUCUCAGCUCUGUACAUCUGCGUAAAUAAUAGCUCAGAACCCUUUUUUUACAUUUUAUUAGUGAAUUAUGUAACCGUGAAUCAUCUGCAGACUUCUAACCACAACACGAAUAAUUUUUGAACCUGUAGCAUAAACCAGAUUUUGCACGUACCAAAAAAAAAAAAAAAAU